UCAAGAGUACGUGAAACCGUUCAGGGGUAAACCUGAGAAACCCAAAAGAUCGAAUGGGGAGAUUCAUCGUCAGCGGCGUUGGCUUCCGUGCGGCUCGCGAUGGCCGGGAUCUCGGUCUCGCGUCACGCGGUCGCCGCGGCAUGUCCGACGUCGUCGGUGUGCACUUCUCCCCUAGUAGGACGUCGCGACCCGUUGGGUGUCGGAUCAAUGGCCGAUCGGUCGUCUGUUGCGCCUCGGUGCGACAGACCGAUUAGUUUAACGUCCGGCUGCCCGGCGGUAUAGAACGCUUAAUCACGGUAAUGGGCCGCAAUUUGAAUGCGUCCAGGCCCGUCGGCAGGCUCGUCUCGCUCGGAAUUACGGACCUAGCACCGUUACCGGGCGCUUGGCGUGGCUGUUAGUCAACGGUGUCCUCGGACUGGCUCUUACCGGUCUGCGACGCUACUGCUUUGGGUACUUUCAGGACCCGUCUUGA
rnacentral:rRNA from 1 species